AGAGUUUGAUCAUGGCUCAGGAUGAACGCUGGCGGCGUGCCUAAUACAUGCAAGUCGAGCGAACCACUUCGGUGGUGAGCGGCGAACGGGUGAGUAACACGUAGGUGAUCUGCCCAUCAGACGGGGACAACGAUUGGAAACGAUCGCUAAUACCGGAUAGGACGAAAGUUUAAAGGUGCUUCUGGCACCGCUGAUGGAUGAGCCUGCGGCGCAUUAGCUAGUUGGUAGGGUAAAGGCCUACCAAGGCGACGAUGCGUAGCCGACCUGAGAGGGUGAACGGCCACGCUGGGACUGAGACACGGCCCAGACUCCUACGGGAGGCAGCAGUAGGGAAUCUUCGGCAAUGGGCGAAAGCCUGACCGAGCAACGCCGCGUGAAUGAUGAAGGCCUUCGGGUUGUAAAAUUCUGUUAUAAGGGAAGAACGACUUUAGUAGGAAAUGGCUAGAGUGUGACGGUACCUUAUGAGAAAGCCACGGCUAACUACGUGCCAGCAGCCGCGGUAAUACGUAGGUGGCGAGCGUUAUCCGGAAUUAUUGGGCGUAAAGAGCGCGCAGGUGGUUGAUUAAGUCUGAUGUGAAAGCCCACGGCUUAACCGUGGAGGGUCAUUGGAAACUGGUCGACUUGAGUGCAGAAGAGGGAAGUGGAAUUCCAUGUGUAGCGGUGAAAUGCGUAGGGAUAUGGAGGAACACCAGUGGCGAAAGCGGCUUCCUGGUCUGUAACUGACACUGAGGCGCGAAAGCGUGGGAGCAAACAGGAUUAGAUACCCUGGUAGUCCACGCCGUAAACGAUGAGUGCUAAGUGUUGGGGGUCGAACCUCAGUGCUGAAGUUAACGCAUUAAGCACUCCGCCUGGGGAGUACGGUCGCAAGACUGAAACUCAAAGGAAUUGACGG
rnacentral:rRNA from 1 species